rnacentral:misc_RNA from 1 species
UGACCGAUCAUGACGACAUCGAACCACCGCACGACUCAUCUUCGACCGACCACGUCCUGAGCGAACUACAGCUCUUCGGUUACCGUCCAUUCGACGACCAGCCCGAUCCGAGACCGCUUCCCGAGGGCAAGAUGAUCACCGGCGCGGUGGCUGACAUCUUCGACGCCCUGGUCGCGACCCUGAGCGACACCCGGCUUGAACCGGAUCUCGAGGAUCUGCUCUGGUC